rnacentral:ncRNA from 1 species
AUUUAAGAAGCGCCAGAACUUUACUUGUGAGUAAAGUUGACGAGGAAUGGAGAAUAUCGAAAAUUCGGCGGGUACUCCAUAGAGUCUACACUCUUAGAAACAGAACAAAUAUUUUUAGUGAUAAAAAUGACAAAUAUGUUUCAA